ACUAUGUGUUGUUGGGUAGGGGAGCGUUCUGUAAGCCUGUGAAGGUGUGUCGUGAGGCAUGCUGGAGGUAUCAGAAGUGCGAAUGCUGACAUAAGUAACGAUAAAGCGGGUGAAAAGCCCGCUCGCCGGAAGACCAAGGGUUCCUGUCCAACGUUAAUCGGGGCAGGGUGAGUCGACCCCUAAGGCGAGGCCGAAAGGCGUAGUCGAUGGGAAACGGGUUAAUAUUCCCGUACUUGGUGUUACUGCGAAGGGGGGACGGAGAAGGCUAUGUUGGCCGGGCGACGGUUGUCCCGGUUUAAGCGUGUAGGUGUGUGUUCCAGGUAAAUCCGGUUCACUUUAACACUGAGGCGUGACGACGAGGCACUACGGUGCUGAAGCAACAAAUGCCCUGCUUCCAGGAAAAGCCUCUAAGCAUCAGGUAACAUCAAAUCGUACCCCAAACCGACACAGGUGGUCAGGUAGAGAAUACCAAGGCGCUUGAGAGAACUCGGGUGAAGGAACUAGGCAAAAUGGUGCCGUAACUUCGGGAGAAGGCACGCUGACACGUAGGUGAAGUGAUUUACUCAUGGAGCUGAAGUCAGUCGAAGAUACCAGCUGGCUGCAACUGUUUAUUAAAAACACAGCACUGUGCAAACACGAAAGUGGACGUAUACGGUGUGACGCCUGCCCGGUGCCGGAAGGUUAAUUGAUGGGGUCAGCGCAAGCGAAGCUCCUGAUCGAAGCCCCGGUAAACGGCGGCCGUAACUAUAACGGUCCUAAGGUAGCGAAAUUCCUUGUCGGGUAAGUUCCGACCUGCACGAAUGGCGUAAUGAUGGCCAGGCUGUCUCCACCCGAGACUCAGUGAAAUUGAACUCGCUGUGAAGAUGCAGUGUACCCGCGGCAAG
rnacentral:rRNA from 1 species